UUUACAUUUUGCAGUUGUUUUAGUGGGGUGAGGGUUAGCAAGACUGUAAAUUAGACUCCGUGCACAGUCUGCUGUAUGUAUGCACGCAUGCAAGAGUCAUUUUGGGGGCAAUAUAUCUGUGGCAAAUGUGAGCGAGUGGCUACCCUGCAAGCUUGUGCUGGAGAUCUGAAAAAGCAAAUUGCAACACUGAGGAGGAUUGACAAAA